CUGCAGCUCAGUUCCCAUUCAAGUGAAUGAGACCUAAGUUGCCAUAACCAGGAUAUAUAUAACUAUUAUUCUCCAAUAUGCUGUAUGCUGCAAUAAUGUGCUCUAUGUGCAUUACAUAUGUUUCUGUCCUUCAUGGAGGAGAAUAGAAAAGAAAAUACUAGUGCUACUAUCAGGCUGCCUGACUGAGUCACUGUACUGUUUGGGGACAUCCGCUACUUAUACACAAGAUGGCACUGGAGCAAAAUCCCAAAGUAGAAAAGAAGACUCCCAUGACCCUCCUGUCAUCUCCCCGUGUCCCAAGGAGAGAGUGCUACAACAGAUCCUGGAAAUGGUGAUACACCAAUCUUUCCAGUCACAGAAUCCCAAAAGUGUUUGUGCAGAUGUUUCACAAUGCUACGAAGAGACAGUGUAAUGGGGAUAGGAUUUCAAUAGUGGCAGUUACAUUGUAUAACCGGGGCAGCUAUAAAAAAAAAGUUAAAAAUAAAUAAAUAA